GGUACAAAAGUGGUUACAUAGAAGAAAAAUCAGCGAAUUUUGAAAAUCCUGUAGAUUUUGCAUUUGGAGAUUCCUGCAACUCACAUUGUGAAGUUCCAGGAUGUGAAAAUGUUGCUAUUAUUCGCUGCUCCUGGUGUAAAAAGUCGCUAUGUUUUAAACAUUUUUUUGAUGACUAUCAUUACUGCAGUACUUACAACGGCUAGAAUAGCCUGCGAUUAUAUAUUCGCUUCUAUCUAUCGCUACAGUGAUUAUUUUGUUAGACUGUUUACCUAUCAUCAAUAAAAGAUAAAAGCAUGUUGCACGUUUUCGUUUUUUUUCGUUGACUACACAGUUUUUCUAUGUGACAUCCCGAAACUUUGUCUAUCUACCGAAACAAAUAUGUGUAAGCGCUUAUCGUACGCCUAUAUAAUCUCAUUGCCAAAUAUAAAUCAAUCGGAAUUAUCGAUAAGCCAUAUAUGUAUACUUUUUCAUCGAAAAAUCGAUCUAUAAAUAAGUUGGCUUCUAGAUAAAACCGUUCAUUUCAUGAUAUAUAUGUGGCACGGUUGUUGUAAAUUUGAAGAAAACACGUAUCACGAGGAGAAGAAAUAAGAAAACAAAGAAAUACUGCCGUUUUAUUGAGAUUUACUGUAGACAUAUACAGGGGUAGUUCACCCCCUUAACUUCAUUUGCGGUAAAAACGCAAAAACCCGUAUCUACUACUUUUUUGCCCUCUUCAAAAUGCAAUUGAAACCAUCGAGAUAGGUGCUAUAGUUUUUUUGUUAUAACGAUUUUGUGAAUUUCAACCCCUAUAACUUUUUUCCUGUGCAACCCCCCGAUAUGAAACCAGUUGCAUUUUCCAUCGUUUAUCAUUAAGUUGAUUAUCUAUUUGGGUGCAUUCGCUUAUCUCGAGUGAAAAUAGGCGAAACCUGAAAACUACCCUCGGAGGUCUCAACUUUAGGGGAUAUUUUCACCCCUUAGAAACGUUUUUCCGCCGAUAAAAAAAAAUACGUGUCUCUUAGAUUUUGAUGUAGAAUAACAUAUUUCAAUUUAAUUGAAAUCGAAGGGGGUCAGCGGAAAGACUUUCCUUGUUAGUAUGUACGACUUAAUGUUGAAGUACCUAAUA